AUUGAACGCUGGCGGCAUGCCUUACACAUGCAAGUCGAACGGUAACAGGUCUUCGGAUGCUGACGAGUGGCGAACGGGUGAGUAAUGCAUCGGAACGUGCCCAGUAGUGGGGGAUAGCCCGGCGAAAGCCGGAUUAAUACCGCAUACGACCUGAGGGUGAAAGGGGGGGAUCGCAAGACCUCUUGCUAUUGGAGCGGCCGAUGUCAGAUUAGCUAGUUGGUGGGGUAAAGGCCUACCAAGGCAACGAUCUGUAGUUGGUCUGAGAGGACGACCAGCCACACUGGGACUGAGACACGGCCCAGACUCCUACGGGAGGCAGCAGUGGGGAAUUUUGGACAAUGGGCGCAAGCCUGAUCCAGCAAUGCCGCGUGCAGGAAGAAGGCCUUCGGGUUGUAAACUGCUUUUGUCAGGGAAGAAAUCUUCUGGGUUAAUACCCUGGGCUAAUGACGGUACCGUAAGAAUAAGCACCGGCUAACUACGUGCCAGCCGCCGCGGUAACAC
rnacentral:rRNA from 1 species